ACCUUCGUGGUAUAAUGGCUAGCACACUCGACGCGUAUUUGAGAGAUUCGAGGUUCGAGUCCUGGCGAGGGCA
rnacentral:tRNA from 1 species